rnacentral:rRNA from 1 species
UACGUAGGGGGCGAGCGUUGUCCGGAAUGACUGGGCGUAAAGGGCGCGUAGACGGUUUUUUAAGUCUGGAGUGAAAGUCCUGCUUUCAAGGUGGGAAUUGCUUUGGAGACUGGGGGACUUGAGUGCGGAAGAGGUAAGUGGAAUUCCCAGUGUAGCGGUGAAAUGCGUAGAGAUUGGGAAGAACACCAGUGGCGAAGGCGACUUACUGGGCCGUAACUGACGUUGAUGCGCGAAAGCGUGGGGAGCGAACAGGG